rnacentral:tRNA from 1 species
CGGAGGAUUGGCCGAGCGGCCUAAGGCGCACGAUUGGAAAUCGUGUUGGGGCAACACCCCUCACGGGUUCGAAUCCCGUAUCCUCCGCCC